rnacentral:rRNA from 1 species
GACAGGGGUGCCAAGCGUUAGGCGGAAUCACUGGGCUUAAAGCGUGUGUAGGCGGACUCCUAAGUACUUUGUGAAAUCCCACGGCUCAACCGUGGAACUGCUUGGUAUACUGGGAGUCUUGAGCCAGCUAGGGGCUACCGGAACAAAUGGUGGAGCGGUGAAAUGCGUAGAUAUCAUUUGGAACGCCAAUGGUGAAAACAGGUAGCUGGGGCUGUGCUGACGCUGAGACACGAAAGCCAGGGGAGCGAACGGG